rnacentral:rRNA from 1 species
UAACGUAGGCGCAAGGCGUAAUCCGGUAAUUCGAAUUGGUGCGUAAAGAGCUCGUAGGCGGUUUGUCGCGUCUGCCGUGAAAGUCCGGGGCUCAACUCCGGAUCUGCGGUGGGUACGGGCAGACUAGAGUGAUGUAGGGGAGACUGGAAUUCCUGGUGUAGCGGUGAAAUGCGCAGAUAUCAGGAGGAACACCGAUGGCGAAGGCAGGUCUCUGGGCAUUAACUGACGCUGAGGAGCGAAAGCAUGGGGAGCGAACAGG